rnacentral:rRNA from 1 species
UGAGGAAUAUUGGACAAUGGAUGGAAAUACUGAUCCAGCCAUGCCGCGUGCAGGAAGACGGUCCUAUGGAUUGUAAACUAGCUUUAGUCAUGGGAGGCAAUAAAGGUGUACGCGUACACCGAUGAGAGUACCAUGAGAAUAAGCACCGGCUAACUCCGUGCCAGCAGCCGCGGUAAUACGGAGGGUGCAAGCGUUAUCCGGAUUUAUUGGGUUUAAAGGGAAGCGCAGGCGGUCUUAUAAGCGUGACGUGAAAUGCAGCGGCUCAACCGUAUGAUGUGCGUCGCGAACUGUGAGACUUGAGUGUAUUCGAUGUCAGCGGAAUUUGUGGUGUAGCGGUGAAAUGCUUAGAUAUCACGAAGAACUCCGAUUGCGAAGGCAGCUGACAAGGCUACAACUGACGCUAA